GCCUCGGUAGCUCAACGGAAGAGCGUACGGCUGUUAACCGUAAGGUUGCAGGUUCGAAUGAGCCUUUCUUUAUAA
rnacentral:tRNA from 1 species